UAUAUAUGCUACUCAUUAUAUUUUCUGAAGUUGUGAUGAAGCUUGAUCUUAGUAAUAUUUUCUUUUGCAGUCAUAAUUAAUUAUUGGGUCCCUGGAUGUUGGCUUUUAUGAAUAAUGUUUGUAUUUGUGGAAUUUGAGUUUCACAUUUAAGGCUUCGAUGAGGAGUAUAUUUUCACUUUAACAAUGCCUCAAAUCUAUGAUCAUUCUCUUAAUAUAUAAUAUAAAAAUUCAUAAUGCUUCAGUUAAUGACUUAAGGUUUUAGUACCUGUGGAUUGAUCAAAUUUCAAGAGUAUAUAAAAUCAAUAUGAUGCAGACCCUAGCUUUUGAUUGAUAAUAUUUGAAACUGUUUUCCCUUAUGUAUGAUGUCCCCUGACAAAUUUAGCAUCUUUCAAUAUUUUUUAAUUAAUGUUAAUAUACUUCCUGGUGCUUUUAAUUUUCAUAACCAUAUAAUUAUUGGCUAAAUUUUUUUUGAUUAUUGAAACAUUCAGUUCUGAGUGGUAUGUCUCCUUUACAUGCAUGUUUGAUCUUCUCGAUAUUUGCAUCAAUGGACGAAAAUAGAAGCUAAACUCAACUGUUAUAAGCCAGGUUAAGUGUUGAUAGAUCACAUGGCAGACAAAAGCUCCUCAAGCUGCAGGGACCAUCCAUACUGAUUUGAGAGAGGGUUCAUCUGUGCUGAGAUUCGUACUAAGUUGGGUGGAUUCCUUGAAGCCCUUCCCCUUGAGGAGAAGAUUGAAUAUGGGAUGGUUAUCAAAAAGGAAAAGCCGAAAGAUGAUGAGACGUUCCACUGCAAGUGCAAUCCUGAAAGGGUUGUGGCUUUAGGAAGAAUAUUGAGUGCAGAGCAAAAGAAGGCAGUGAGGAAUAUUAGAUUUGGUGCAAUGUUGGAUUUGAAGAUGGAUUGUGUGAAGAGAAAGUUAGCUAGGUGGUUAGUUGAUCAGAUUGACGAUGACAAGAGGGUACUUACUGUGGGUACCACGAUCAUAGAGUUGAAGCCGUAGCUUUUCGAGCAUGUUAUGGGGAUUAGGGAUGGCGGUACCCCUAUCAAACUGCCUGAGAAGAAUUACUACAAUCCUUACCAUGAUUUGAUUUUCAACAUGCAUAAGAAAUCCACUACCAUCGAUGACUUGGAGAAAGUAAUUGAACGGAGCAAGACAACAGACGAGCUCUUUCUCAUGCAUUACGUAUUGUUCGUAAUUACGGUCGUUCUUUGUCCAACGUCGGGAAAUCGUGUUAAGAAAGCAUACCUAUCCAUUGUUUGCAACGUGGAGUCUGUUAAGAAUUUCAAUUGGGUGACACACACCCUCAACUUUCUUUGUGAGCAGAUUCAAUGUUUGAAGCGGGGAGAGAUUCAUUACAUGCCAGGUUUUUCGCUCUUCCUGUACUUAAUGUUCAUAUAAAGAGCUUUGUGGCCUCGUGGGCAGAUAGAUAGGAGUAUCCCCCGAUUGCCGAUUACACUUUGGGAUAAGACCACUAUGAGGAAAUUUGCGCUUUACAUCGACCGUAAAGGAGGUUAUGAGACUACUGAGAUGUUACCUUUACCACCACCCAAUACCAAAAAAGCUCCCAUUGUUAUGCCCUCUAAAGGUGCUCGAGAAGCUCCCAAUGCUAUGUAUUCUAAAGGAGUUCGAGAAGCUCCCACUGCUAUGCCUUCCAAAGGAGUUCGGGAAGCACGUAGGGCCCCCAGCGUCCCUAAUCACCCCAUCAACCCCAUAAUUGAUGCUAAUGAUGUCAUUCUGAGUAAGAUUUUGGACCGUAUGGACCGGAUGGAGCAGCAAAUGGAUAAGGUAUCAAGUACCAUGGAAGUACUACCAAGCCAGGUCCAUGAUGUACUUGACAAAGAGAUGAGGACUAUCAAGAAGGUCAUAAUCAAUGAUCUUUGGAAGGUUGCAGCUUCAAAGCGUACAAUAGACCCCCAUUUUACUAGAGUUGACAUUCCUUAGCCUACCAAGCCAGCGAGGGACUCCAAAAAAUCCACGGUGGCAGGAAACCAAGACCAAAAUGAAUAAGAAAUGGAUGAUGAUGUUGUCAUUGUAGAUAGGUCUUUGAUCCCGUGGAAGACAUUGUUAUCUACCCAAAUUGAGAAGGAGGGAGAGGGGAUUCAAAAUGAACAAUUUGAACCUAUGGAACCCAAGGCUUGCACCCUACCUGUGGAAGAGAAGGCCUGGAAGAAAUAUCAUUCCAGCAAAGGGAAGGUGGUGUGUGCAUUCGACCUAAAGAUUGAGGUUGAUGAGGAGAUUUUUAAGACAGUCCAAUAUAUUUUCACUAACAGUCUUCAAAAAAAGGAAAUCUUAUUCUCCAACGACAGAACAAAACUGUCGAGAUCACAACUGAGCUUGUUCAGACCCGAUACAGAAAUUGAUGGGAAUAUUAUUACAUGUUAUGCCUAGUUGUUGACGAGCAAGGAGAGAAUUGGUGACAGAACCUACUGGUUUUUGCCCACUACAGUUUCUAUUAGUGCAAUUAUGCCU